AGAACCAACAGUUGUUAUUUGUCGGUCUUAAACGAAAGAACGAACGUACGUAUACGUCCGUAUGAACGCACCACGCACUCUUUUUGUAAUUCGUCUAUUAAAUCGAGUGUUUUAAACGAUUUAUUUUCCCAAUUUCUUAAAUAAGAAUAAUUACGAAAAUUGUUUAAAAGGAAAAUUCUAAGUUUCCCAAAUUUGUGUUUAAUUUGAAAAAAAGAAGAAAACAAAAAAUAUAUAAAUUUGCCCAAGGUGUGUGAGUGUGUUGCACUAUUUUAAAAAUUCAAAAAUAUAUAUAAAAUUUUAACGAAAAAAAAUAAUAAAUAAAUAAAAAAUAGUGAAUACGAAUAUUUAAGUAUAAAAAUUUAAAGAAUUGUGUUUUGUUUUUGGAUAUAAAAGUGUGUGUGUGUAUUUUUGUACGUGUUUGAAAUAUCUAUGUAUUGGUUCAGAUAGAUUCCCAUACGCGUCCAUUUUUUUUAAAUUGGUGUGUUCUCUUGUAUGUUGUUUGGUUGUACACUAGACAACAACGACUGUUUUGUUAUAGGAAUCUUUGUUGUUUUUGUUUCACCUCUUCUUCUUCUUGUUCUUGUUAUUCGUUUUCAUUUGAAUGAACUCUAAACAAGUUUUACAUUAAUUUUAAACACAACAAGCAAAAACAACAACAACAAAAACUAACACAAUCUAAAAAUCCAACAUGAAAAAAUAAGAGUUCUGUUCUUUUUCUCUUUACCAAAAAAAAAAAAGAAUAUUCUUCUGGUUGGAAUAUAAAUAGAAAAGGAAAAAAAAUAGAUUUAAAAAUAUCCCCAAAAUAAAUUAAAUUAUAAAAAACCCCACAUAUCCAGCAAGUGUAAUUUAAAAGUAAAAAACCCCAUAGUGUUUAAAAUUGUUUACAUUAAUGCUUGUUCUUAGCAGUGAAGUAAAACCGUUAAAUUGAAAACUUCAGCAAAACAAUAACAAAAAUAAAUAAAUAAUAGAAAAUAAAAAAAAACGAAACAAUAACAAAUCUAACAAACAAACAACAACAAAAAAAAUCAAAACAAAAUCAUACUCUCAUUUACACGCUCUCACACAAAAAAAAAAAUGUUAUGCAUUCGCAACAAGUUGUAACGGAAAAGUGAGUGUAUUAGUGCGUUUUUGUUGUAAUUACAAAUUGUUAAGUCAUACACCUAGUGUUGUUGCAGUUGUUGUUGUCAUAUAUUGUUAUUAUUGGUUCUCAGUUUUCUUUACAUUAAAACUUAAUACAUUUUAACGAAAACAACAAAAAGAAAAAAAUCCAAUAAAAUAAUUUAAAAUAAAAUUCUUGAAAUACCUUAAAAUAACGAACAAACCCAUUAAAUAUUCAUUCUAGCUAAGAGAUACAUACAACUACAACAACAAGAAUAAGUUAAAAUUUUGUAAUAAACAUUCGAAUGGAAUUUGAAAUUAACUACAUUUUGUUGUUUUUCUACAAAUAAAAUAGAAGAAGAAUAUUCAUCAAAGAAAUUCUAAACGUGUAAAAAUAAAGCAGCAAAUUUAAUUUAAAACACAAAUAAUAUUUAAAAUUAAUUUAUUAAAGUAAUAAAGCUAAAUAAGUCUAACAAUUCCCCUAAACAAAUAACAAUAAAUAUUAUAAAUACCAAAAAAA
rnacentral:lncRNA from 1 species